AACGAACGCUGGCGGCAUGCCUAACACAUGCAAGUCGAACGAGACCUUCGGGUCUAGUGGCGCACGGGUGCGUAACGCGUGGGAACCUGCCCUUAGGUUCGGAAUAACUCCCCGAAAGGGGUGCUAAUACCGGAUAAUGUCUUCGGACCAAAGAUUUAUCGCCUUUGGAUGGGCCCGCGUUGGAUUAGCUAGUUGGUAGGGUAAAAGCCUACCAAGGCGACGAUCCAUAGCUGGUCUGAGAGGAUGAUCAGCCACACUGGGACUGAGACACGGCCCAGACUCCUACGGGAGGCAGCAGUGGGGAAUAUUGGACGAUGGGCGAAAGCCUGAUGCAGCAAGGCCGCGUGAGUGAUGAAGGCCUUAGGGUUGUAAAGCUCUUUUACCCGAGAUGAUAAUGACAGUACCGGGAGAAUAAGCGCAGGCUAACUCCGUG
rnacentral:rRNA from 1 species